rnacentral:piRNA from 1 species
UGAUUUACUGACUUAUAAGUU